rnacentral:rRNA from 1 species
CCUACGGGUGGCAGCAGUAGGGAAUUUUUCACAAUGGGCGAAAGCCUGAUGCAGCAAUGCCGCGUGAAUGAUGAAUGCCUUAUGGAUUGUAAAAUUCUUUUAUUUGGGAAGAAAAUCUAAAGUAGGAAAUGACUUUAGUCUGACUGUACCAUUUGAAUAAGCAUCGUCUAACUAUGUACCCGCAGCCGCGGUAAUACAUAGGAUGCAAGCGUUAUCCGUAUUUACUGGGCGUAACAGGAGCGCAGGCGGGUUACCAAGUUUGGGAUGAAGGGCUUUUGCUUAACGAAAGUUUGUAUCAGAAACUGUUAAUCUAGAGUGUAGUAGAGGGUACUGGAAUUCGAGGUGUAGCGGUGGAAUGCGUAGAUAUAAGGAAGAACACCAGUGGCGAAGGCG